GCUUACGGCCACACCGCUGGUUCCACGCCCGAUCUCGUUUGAUCUCGGAAGCUAAGAUAGGUUGGGCCUGGUUAGUACUUGGAUGGGAGACCGCCUAGGAAUACCAAGGUGCUGUAAGCC
rnacentral:rRNA from 1 species